ncrna:unclassified sequences DTF805b RNA
ACUGCGGAUUCCGAAAAGCAAAAAGAGUAGGAA